rnacentral:lncRNA from 1 species
GCAGAACCAAUCCAGACAUUUGAUUCAGAGAUGUAUGUUUAGAAACAUUGACAAUGUAGCAGUCAGACAACACGGCGAAGACGAGACUAUUUACGAACAUUACAGAAAACGAGAAGAACAUACGCAACAGCAUUGUCUUAAUCUCAAAGAAAAAACACAGCAGCGUUGUCUUAAUCUCAAAACACACACACACACAACAGCAGCAUUGUCUCAACUUGUGUGCACCCAAAAGUUCCAGCAAAGCGCCUGAUUCAAAACGUGCAUCCCUGGCGUAGCGCCGAGACGCCAAAACCAUGAACCAAACAAAUUGCUUCAGAAAACAUCACAUCACUACAUUGUGAAUUCACCAACAUAUGCAGGGGUCCAUGCUUCACGGAGGCGAUUAUUCCUCACCAGCCAUACAGUCAGCUUGAGGUCUAAAUUUUCAUCAGUUCCUGAAAAGAAUCCAGGCAGUUCUGAUUCACUUUCUGAGGGCUCUUUAAUGGUUAACCCAAGAAUACUGCGAGUUCUUGUUCUAGCAUCAAGCAUAGUUAUUUUUAUUCAGAAGCUCAGUUCGAUAUGUGCCUAUUACCUCGCUUCAGGUUAUAGCGUAUAACCAGCAAACACUACGUCUUGUUAGACAAAAAGUCAACAAAUAGAUCAAAAAAGUACUUGUUCCUUCUGCUUCUGGAUGGAUUCGAUCUUUUUC